CCCAGGUGGGCCAAAGUGAUGAAUGGUUUGUAAAGAUCAUGAUGAGAUGUUAUAAUAAAGAAAAAUUAUGAUUUCUAAAAGGAUUAUGUGUGUGUUGUAGGUGCGUCAUUGUUUGAUAUCAUUUUAAUAAUGACCCUCUCAUGGAUCCUCUCUGUGCACGAGGAGGCUCCGGGAGGCGGGCCGUUACAAUUUCGCUCUCACUCUCGCUCUCUACUUGUGGUCUGGUCGUUGCAGCGUUCCCUCUUUUUCUUUCUCACUCUCGGCUUUGGUUCGGACAGCUCAGUGACCGGCGGUUGCUAUUGUGCAGGCUACCGCUGCCUCUCUCUCGCUCUCGCUCACUACCACUGGUGUUAGUCAUAGAAUGCCCUUGGAGGACUUGCCAAAUGGAGUGUGGUAGUGGAAUCGCUACUAUAGGAAUUUGGGCAAUUCCUUAAAGACGCUCAAUGAAAAGCAAGAGAGGUUCAGAAUCGAGAUGGAUUGGGCUUGCUAGCUUCUACCAGUGUCCUUCCAGCCCAUCUUGGCUUGGGGAACCUGACGGGAUGCAGAGCCCAUAUUCUUUGGCAUGUAGAUAAAUGAAUGGAACUUGAUUAACCAGUGCUGCCCUUUGCCUCAAGAUAAAUGCAAUCCUCCUUUCUCCCCCCCCCUGCCCGAUCUUCUCUUCUCCCAUCAGUCAAUUGUGAAGACGUAUCUGGAAAAUGAUACAAGGGACCAAUGAAUGUUUUACUAGGAAGAUUAAUAUCAAUUUUGGUGUCGUAUCUUUUUGUCAAGUAAUCGGCUUCUUCAUUUGUUCUUUUUGUCCUGAAGGUUGAUCAAAAUCUUCAUUUUUGGAGGUGCCUGUUUAUUAUAAAGAACUGACGGUGGAUGGAUAGAACUCUUACACGUAACAUGCCCGAGCAAAAAUUGACAUAAAUAGCCAUCUCAUACGGGGAGAUGCAUUAAAGGACAGUUUAAACAUGGAAGUGUAAUCUGUUGAGGCUUCCAAUCUUGUUGCUUAAUUGGAAACCCAUUUAUAAUUUUGUUGUCGGCAAAGCUGUUAUGGAUUUGUUAUGUGGCUUCGAAGAUGAGUAUUUCCAAACCCUAUUGGAUUUGUCUUGUUGGCCGUGCCGAGAAACUGGCCAUCUGCACAG